GAUGAACGCUGGCGGCGUGCCUAAUACAUGCAAGUCGAGCGAACGGACGAGAAGCUUGCUUCUCUGAUGUUAGCGGCGGACGGGUGAGUAACACGUGGAUAACCUACCUAUAAGACUGGGAUAACUUCGGGAAACCGGAACUAAUACCGGAUAAUAUUUUGAACCGCAUGGUUCAAAAGUGAAAGACGGUCUUGCUGUCACUUAUAGAUGGAUCCGCGCUGCAUUAGCUAGUUGGUAAGGUAACGGCGUACCAAGGCAACGAUGCAUAGCCGACCUGAGAGGGUGAUCGGCCACACUGGAACUGAGACACGGUCCAGACUCCUACGGGAGGCAGCAGUAGGGAAUCUUCCGCAAUGGGCGAAAGCCUGACGGAGCAGCGCCGCGUGAGUGAUGAAGGUCUUCGGAUCGUAAAACUCUGUUAUUAGGGAAGAACAUAUGUGUAAGUAACUGUGCACAUCUUGACGGUACCUAAUCAGAAAGCCACGGCUAACUACGUG
rnacentral:rRNA from 1 species